rnacentral:rRNA from 1 species
ACGUAGGAGGCGAGUGUUAUCCGGAUUUAUUGGGCGUAAAGAGCGUGUAGGAGGCUCUUCAAGCGGGAUGUGAAAGGUAAUGGCUUAACUGUGGUAGGCCUUGCAAACUGGAAGACUUGAGUGCAGGAGAGGGAAAUGGAAUUCCUGGAGUAGUGGUGAAAUGAGUAGAUAUUAGGAGGAACACCAGAGGCGAAGGCGAGGUACUGGACAGUAACUGACACUGAGGCGCGAAAACGUGGGUAGCAAACAG